AGCAGCCGCGGUAAUUCCAGCUCCAAUAGCGUAUAUUAAAGUUGCUGCAGUUAAAAAGCUCGUAGUUGAAUUUCGGGACCAAUAUGUCGGUCGUGCUUCGGUACGUACUGGCAUCGUUGGUUUCUCCCUUCUGACGAACCAUGAUGUCAUUUAUUUGGUGUCGUGGGGAAUCAGGACUGUUACUUUGAAAAAAUUAGAGUAUUUAAAGCAGGCUCACGCUUGAAUACAUUAGCAUGGAAUAAUGAAAUAGGACGUUUGAUUCUAUUUUGUUGGUUUCUGGGAUCGACGUAAUGAUUAAUAGGGAUAGUUGGGGGCAUUAGUAUUCAAUUGUCAGAGGUGAAAUUCUUGGAUUUAUUGAAGACUAACUACUGCGAAAGCAUUUGCCAAGGANGUUUUCAUUAAUCAAGAACGAAAGUUAGGGGUCGAAGACGAUCAGAUACCGUCGUAGUCUUAACCAUAAACUAUGCCGACUAGGGAUCGGAUGAUGUUAAUUUUUAAUGACUCAUUCGGCGCCUUAAC
rnacentral:rRNA from 1 species